rnacentral:rRNA from 1 species
GACGAACGCUGGCGGCGUGCUUAACACAUGCAAGUCGAACGAAGUGGCGAACGGGUGAGUAACGCGUAAUCAACCUGCCCUUCAGCGGGGGACAACAGUUGGAAACGACUGCUAAUACCGCAUACUGACGUAGGGGAUUGCGUCUGAUUAGCUAGUUGGAGGGUUAACGGCCCACCAAGGCGAUGAUCAGUAGCCGGUCUGAGAGGAUGAACGGACAAGUUGGGACUGAGGCACGGCCCAGACCCCUACGGGAGGCAGCAGUGGGGAAUCUUCCGCAAUGGACGAAAGGCGGACGGAGCAACGCCGCGUGAGUGAUGACGGCCUUCGGGUUGUAAAGCUCUGUUAAUCGGGACGCGGUACCGGAAUAGAAAGCCACGGCUAACUACGUGCCAGCAGCCGCGGUAAUUC